CCCUCUCUUCUUCCCAUAAUCCCGUCAUUUCAUUUUCAAUUUGACCAUUUCCUUUUUCAAAACUUUUCCUUCCGAACCGUUCCAUUUUCUUAUUGUUUUGAAGCUUUCUUCCUUCCGUUCUUCCUCUCCUGGUUCUUUCUAGUCUGGUUCACAUAGCUAAUCGUAUCUUCUUUGUUUUUCAGCGUACUCAGGCCCUCAGGGAGCUCCAUUUCCAGGCAUACCUCCUCUUUUUUGUUUUUUGUUCUUUUUCCCGUUAUCUUCUUUGUUCUUUGUUCUUUUUCAUUUUUUUGAUUGAACUGUGUUUCAGUGUUUCUGUUGAUUUUUGUUUAGAGGAGAUGAUUUUUUUUUUAAUUUGCUGUUAACGGGAAAUAACGGGAAUAGCGGCCCGUUAUUGCCGCAAUUGGCCGUUACCCGUUAAAUUGCGGCCGUGAUCCACCGCUAUCGGUGUGACUCCGCUUCUCACCGCUAUUUUCAGCAAUUGCAGUUUCGGACGACGCCGCUACCGCUAUAUAACGGCCGCUAUUUCGGUAACGGACCGUUAUUUAAAUCCCUGGA
rnacentral:lncRNA from 1 species